AGCUAAAGAUACUCGGCUAAGUUCGCCCACGUCCUGUGGGCAACACCGAUUCCUCUCCUCACGAGGA
rnacentral:sRNA from 1 species